rnacentral:rRNA from 1 species
CCCUUGGCCUUGACAUACUAAGAACUUUCCAGAGAUGGAUUGGUGCCUUCGGGAACUUAGAUACAGGUGCUGCAUGGCUGUCGUCAGCUCGUGUCGUGAGAUGUUGGGUUAAGUCCGCAACGAGCGCAACCCCUUUCCUUAUUUGCCAGCGGGUAAUGCCGGGAACUUUAAGGAUACUGCCAGUGACAAACUGGAGGAAGGCGGGGACGACGUCAAGUCAUCAUGGCCCUUACGGCCAGGGCUACACACGUGCUACAAUGGUCGGUACAAAGGGUUGCUACCUCGCGAGAGGAUGCUAAUCUCAAAAAGCCGAUCGUAGUCCGGAUCGCAGUCUGCAACUCGACUGCGUGAAGUCGGAAUCGCUAGUAAUCGCGGAUCAGAAUGCCGCGGUGAAUACGUUCCCGGGCCUUGUACACACCGCCCGUCACACCAUGGGAGUUUGUUGCACCAGAAGUAGGUAGUCUAACCGCAAGGAGGACGCUUACCACGGUGUGGCCGAUGACUGGGGUGAAGUCGUAACAAGGUAGGCGUAGAUGA